CUUCUCCCCCGCGCCCCUCCGUCCGCUCCCUCCCCGCCCCCGGCCCCGGGCUGCGCGCGCCCCUACAGCGCCCGGCCCCAGUGGCUUGGGCUAUUAAUACCCGGCGCAGCUAAAUUUAGCAGGCUUAUAUUUGGCACCCUUUACCCUGCAUAUUAUUCCUACAAGGCUGUGAAAUCAAAGGACAUUAAGGAAUAUGUCAAAUGGAUGAUGUACUGGAUUAUAUUUGCACUUUUCACCACAGCAGAGACAUUCACAGACAUCUUCCUUUGUUGGUUUCCAUUCUAUUAUGAACUAAAAAUAGCAUUUGUAGCCUGGCUGCUGUCUCCCUACACAAAAGGCUCCAGCCUCCUGUACAGGAAGUUUGUACAUCCCACGCUAUCUUCAAAAGAAAAGGAAAUCGAUGAUUGUCUGGUCCAAGCAAAAGACCGAAGUUACGAUGCCCUUGUGCACUUUGGGAAGCGGGGCUUGAACGUGGCCGCCACAGCGGCUGUGAUGGCUGCUUCCAAGGGACAGGGUGCCUUAUCGGAGAGACUGCGGAGCUUCAGCAUGCAGGACCUCACCACCAUCAGGGGAGAC
rnacentral:sRNA from 1 species